GCUUGCGGGCGCGGCGCAGAGGAAGUGCCGUCUUCGCCGCCGCGCCACGGGGGCGCCUCCGGCGCGGGCCGCGAUGUCGUCCCGGUCGGGGCGCGACGACGCGGGGGCCGGGGGCGCGCGGCGGCCGCGGGAGCCGCCCGAGCAGGAGCUGCAGCGGCGCCGGGAGCAGAAGCGGCGGCGGCACGACGCGCAGCAGCUGCAGCAGCUCAAGCACCUGGAGUCCUUUUAUGAAAAACCUCCUCCUGGGCUUAUCAAGAUGCCCGUCGGUUCAUACACCCUGGGCUUUGUCACAAGCCUGUGCCUGCGUAGAAAGUUAGUCAGCUGUGUGUGUGUCCCUGAGAAGCCGUGGCAGGCGCCGUGUGCUCCUCAGCCAUCACUCCCUUCUCUCUGCCUGGUGACUCCAUCUUCUCAAAGCUGUCCUGCCCGUGUGCCUCCUCUCACUCGCCUGCUGCUGUUUCUUGAGUGUCUGCAGCUCAGAGAGCAGCGGGCUCUGAGGAGACUUGAAGCUCAUCGGGUCCAGCCUCCCUGGUGCAGGAGUCCCUCCUCCAGCACCCUGGCCACAGGGUCACCGUCUUUCUGUGGGACCGAGACCUAGAGGAGGAGUUAAAGGACAAAGCAACCUCUGCUGUUUGGAAGAUGAGACUAAGCCAGAAGACUGUAUACCAGACGUACCAGGCAAUGAACACGCCAGGGAAUUUCUGGCUCACGCCCCAACUAAAGGACUUUGGAUGCCCCUGGGGAAAGAAGUCAAAGUCAUGCAGUGAUACAGGAGUUAAAACAGUUACUGGAGGAUUCCACUUCAGAUGAAGAUGAGAGCAGCUCCAGUUCCUCAGAAGGUAAAGAGAAAAACAAGAAAAAGAAGAAAGAAAAGAAAAGGAAGAAAAAACUAAAGCAUAAGUCUUCCAAGUCAAAUGAGAGUUCAGACGCAGAUUGACAAGAACUUGACUUGUUCAACACUCUCUUCUCAAAGAUCAGAGGAAUGCGGAACGGGAGAGGAACGAGAGAGAGACAGUGAGAGAGGAGGACAUUUGGUGUCACACGUGUGCAUUCUCACCUACCUUCUAGUAAGGACGUGACCCACAGGAGAGGAGCUCUACCUUCCUGGGUGCCAGCUCUGGAAAGCGGCUGAUUCCAGGCAGGACAGCUUUUCUCAGUGUCCUCCCUGCGGAUCACUGCGAUUUGUGAUUCCUCAGAAAUGCCUCUGCCGGGGCAGCCAGAGGGAAUCUCUGAGGAAGCUCCCCAAAUGCUGCCACAGCUUCCACCCUCCAGAGUGGGGCCACUCAAUUCCCAUUGACUUCAGCCUUGACUUUCUCUGUUGUUAAGGCCAAUAAAAGCUGAUGAUUUUAUUUAUUUAAAAAAUACUCAUUUAUUUUUGAAUCAUAAUAUACUUAACAUGGUCCAAAUUUAAAAGGUAAAUAAGGUUUAAUUAUGAGAAACCUUUCUCCCCCAGCUACUCAGUUCCCUUCCCUAAUGGCUAACAAUGUUACCAGUUUCUUAUGGAAUCACCUAGAAAUAUUUUAUAUAUCACAAAUUAUUUUUUCUUUUUUUAACAUAAAUACAUGCAUACUAUACA